rnacentral:misc_RNA from 1 species
CCAAUAGCGUAUAUUAAAGUUGUUGCAGUUAAAAAGCUCGUAGUUGAAUUUCGGGGUUCUUCCGUUGGUCAGGCUAACAAGUCUGAACUAACGUGUAGAAUCUCUACCUUCUGGGGAACCAUCAUGUUAUUAAUUUAGCGUGGUGGGAAACCAGGACCUUUACCUUGAAAAAAUUAGAGUGUUCAAAGCAGGCUUACGUCUGAAUACAUUAGCAUGGAAUAAUAAAAUAGGACGGUGGUCCUGUUUUGUUGGUUUCUGAAUCACCGUAAUGAUUAAUAGGGAUAGUUGGGGGCAUUAGUAUUCAAUUGUCAGAGGUGAAAUUCUUGGAUUUAUUGAAGACUAACUUCUGCGAAAGCAUUUGCCAAGGAUGUUUUCAUUAAUCAAGAACGAAAGUUAGGGGAUCGAAGACGAUCAGAUACCGUCGUAGUCUUAACCAUAAACUAUGCCGACUAGGGAUCGGACGAGGUUAAAUUUUAUUGACUCGUUCGGCGCCUUACG